rnacentral:tRNA from 1 species
GCCCAGGUGGUGGAAUUGGUAGACACGCGGUCUUGAGGGGGCCGUGGGAUUUCCCGUGUGGGUUCGAGUCCCUCCCUGGGCACCA